AGAAUGAACGCUGGCGGCAUGCCUAACACAUGCAAGUCGAACGAGACCUUCGGGUCUAGUGGCGCACGGGUGCGUAACGCGUGGGAAUCUGCCCUUGGGUUCGGAAUAACAGUUAGAAAUGACUGCUAAUACCGAAUGAUGACGUAAGUCCAAAGAUUUAUCGCCCAGGGAUGAGCCCGCGUAGGAUUAGCUUGUUGGUGAGGUAAAAGCUCACCAAGGCGACGAUCCUUAGCUGGUCUGAGAGGAUGAUCAGCCACACUGGGACUGAGACACGGCCCAGACUCCUACGGGAGGCAGCAGUGGGGAAUAUUGGACAAUGGGCGAAAGCCUGAUCCAGCAAUGCCGCGUGAGUGAUGAAGGCCUUAGGGUUGUAAAGCUCUUUUACCCGGGAUGAUAAUGACAGUACCGGAGAAUAAGCUCCGGCUAACUCCGCGCCAGCAGCCGC
rnacentral:rRNA from 1 species